UACGAAGGGGGCUAGCGUUGCUCGGAAUCACUGGGCGUAAAGGGUGCGUAGGCGGGUCUUUAAGUCAGGGGUGAAAUCCUGGAGCUCAACUCCAGAACUGCCUUUGAUACUGAAGAUCUUGAGUUCGGGAGAGGUGAGUGGAACUGCGAGUGUAGAGGUGAAAUUCGUAGAUAUUCGCAAGAACACCAGUGGCGAAGGCAGCUCGCUGGGACGGUACUGACGCUGAGGCGCGAAAGCGUGGGGAGCAAACAGG
rnacentral:rRNA from 1 species